rnacentral:rRNA from 1 species
AUUGAACGCUGGCGGCAGGCCUAACACAUGCAAGUCGAAUGGUAACAGGAAACAGCUUGCUGUUUCGCUGACGAGUGGCGGACGGGUGAGUAAUGUCUGGGAAACUGCCUGAUGGAGGGGGAUAACUACUGGAAACGGUAGCUAAUACCGCAUAACGUCGCAAGACCAAAGAGGGGGACCUUCGGGCCUCUUGCCAUCAGAUGUGCCCAGAUGGGAUUAGCUAGUAGGUGGGGUAACGGCUCACCUAGGCGACGAUCCCUAGCUGGUCUGAGAGGAUGACCAGCCACACUGGAACUGAGACACGGUCCAGACUCCUACGGGAGGCAGCAGUGGGGAAUAUUGCACAAUGGGCGCAAGCCUGAUGCAGCCAUGCCGCGUGUAUGAAGAAGGCCUUCGGGUUGUAAAGUACUUUCAGCGGGGAGGAAGGGAGUAAAGUUAAUACCUUGGCUAAUUGACGUUACCCGCAGAAGAAGCACCGGCUAACUCCGUG